AUUUAUUAUUAUUUCUUUUACUAUCAUUAAAUCAUUUCUCAAUCUCUGCAACUACUACUCUUUAGAGAGAGAAACAAAGGGUUCUUGUAAAGAGCAAGAUCGAGAGUUCAAAAACCAAAUUCCAAAAAUUUAGAAAAAAAAACAAGAAUUCAUCAUUGUUAGAGGUGGAUCGGAGGCCCAGGCAGUUGGAGGAGUUGGGGCCCGACUGGGGCGGUCCUCGACCCGUUACGGACCGGCAACGGUUUUCACCGGACCGGUGAGAAAGUGGAAGAAGAAAUGGGUUCACGUUUCACCUUCUUCCGCUUCUUCUAAUUCCAAUAACAACACCAAUCACAAUCACGGUUCUUCUAAUAACGUAAUAAUAACGGCUCUCAUCUUCUUCUUUAUAAGUGGACCCCUAUAACUCAAAGCCAGAACGCCAACAAUAACGGAAGUAAUGGGAACGUUAAGGACGCGCAGAUUGAACCGGUGGAAGAGCCUCCCCGAAGGAAAUUUAAAUAUGUUCCGUAUUGCUUGGGCUACCAGGUAACUUUGAGGUAAAGGGAAACCAUAACCCUAGCUGCUAUCACGUUCUCUGCGGCGGCUGAAAGAGAAAAAUGGAACAGGUUCAAUGCUUGGGUAGGAAGAAGAACGCGGUGGCGGUGACUCACUGCAAGAGAGGCCAUGGUCUCAUCAAGAUCAAUGGCUCCCCGAUCGAACUCGUCCAGCUUGAGAAAAAGUAUAUAUAGCAUUUAGGUUGAAUACGCUCAUGCAGUCUCCUUUCAAAUAGUUAUAUCUGUAAGUGUGAAAAUUUUCACUUGCUCUCCACUUAGUAUAUCCAAAAUGGUUAAAAUUCAUUGUCAGUAUGUUUCUCACAUGAUGUUUGCUUUUAGUGGAGGAAGGAAAAGUAGCAAAUUUUCUUUUGAGCACAUCUGGGAUUGUGGCAUUACGUCAGUCAGUUAUCAAGGAGAAGCUGCUAACAAAAGUAUGUGUUUAGUUUAGCUUACUUUAAUUUGCUUUCUUCUUUUGUUUUAGAACCUAGCAUUAUCUUUGCAUUUUUCACUUUUGGCUCUCAGAUGGUUCUUGGCUAUAUUAGGUAUGUUGGUACUCACUGAUAAUGAGUCAAGUUGGUUUUGAAUUUAGUUAGAGUUAGUUAGGUUCUGUUAUAUGUUAGUUACACUGAAAUUCUGUUACAAAAGUUAGCUACAGGUUAGAGUUAAUUUUGAAAUGUUAGUAGGAAAACUGUUAGUAGUUAUGUUCAAAAUUUUGUCUUGUGGAAGUUAGUACGGGUUAGUCAGAAAUUUAAUUAUGAAUUAGAACUAGGAGUUACUAAUGAAAUCUUGCUUGUAAUCUCUGCUAGCAGUCAUUAUUUCCUCUAUGUUCUGAAUGGGCUGACUGCUCACAUGAACCAAUUGGUAACUACAGCUGUUCUCUGAGUGUUUGAGUGAAUUUUGGAUGAUGAAGCUUGGUUGUUUUGUAAGUUUAAUUUGGUAAUUUGAAUGUGUGGAUUUUUCUGAAUGUGAUUGUGGAUGAACCGAGUUCGUAUUUGUUUUUCAGCUUGGUUUGAAUUUAGAAAGGGUAGCUGCAGGUUCUGAAAUUGUUUAGGAUUUGGGGGCUGAUUCGGAUUAACGUAAAGGGAUGAUAUGCAGCUGAGUUUCGGCUUACAGUUUAUGCAGCAGAAUUUUCGGUGUAGCUCGAUUUGGUUAAUCUGUUGAUGAGUGAGUGAAUUUAUGGUGGACUGCGUAUGGCUGGUUAUAUGUGCAGUAGAUUGCGCUUGUCAUGGUUGGACUGUUUGACAUAUUAUUUGGCCCAUGGUGCAAGCUGUCUUGAAUUGGGUCAGGGAGAAUGCUUGGCAUGAAAGUGUGAUAUGCACAGGUUGUGGUUGUUCAUGAGUGGAAGUCGCAUUGUCACAGAAUGAACUCGCGUAUGGCCGGCUGUUUGAACAUGACCGAGUGCAUAUGACGCUUUGGUUCUGGACUGGUUUUAUAGGUUAGGCAUGAGACAUCAAAGGAGAUACUGAUACACAUUUAUACUGCCUUUUGCAUUAAUUUCUCAUCUAUGUUAAAAUGCACCUCGAAUUUGUGAUAUUUCAAUGACCAUGGGCAUGAAUGCAUUUUAUAAUUAUAUAUAUUUUAACAGUUCCUUCUUGUCUUUGACCUUGUGCAGUGAAAGCAUUUCAAGAUAUUAUGAUUGAAUUAAACUUCUAUUUUUUAGCCUAUCUUUCUAUGAUAUCCACGGCUUGCGAAGGAAUACCAGUCAUUUUCAGUUAUCUACAAUGACAGAUCACUGGACAUGCUUGAUGGAAAGCAAAAUUUGAUCAACAAGAGACAUUCUGGGAAUGUAAGUAUUAUCUUUCUUCUGUUUAGACAGUCACCUCUGCUACCACUCAUACUGCGGUUUGCAAUUUGUUUUGGAUGGCCUCCCUAUUGAAAUCAAAUGUGUGACCAACCAAUUAGCCCGGUAGUUGGGGAUACUCAUGUUUCAACUGCUGUAAUGGGGACACAUGGUUAUGCUUCUCCGUAUUACAUUGAAACAGGCCAUCUCACUUCCAAGAGUGACGUGUGGAGUUUCGGUGUCGUGCUAUACAAAAUACUAACCGGUAGGCGUUCGUUGGCAAGAAACCGUCCGAAAACAUAACAACAACUUUUAGAAUAGGUGAAGAACUAUCCACCUGAUAGCAAAAAUUAUAUAUAAUUUCUUUUUCACAUACACAAUUUAUUAUUAGCAGGUUCAAAAUUGCUGUUUCUUUAAAACAGAGAGUUUUCCAAUUUAUUCUCUAAAAUACGAAGAGAAUUAUUGAGUGAUUAUGUGGAUGACAUUAACCCAUGGUACUUAUUGGUACAUUCUUUGCUAUUUUUUUAUUUAAAUUGAUCAA